CAAGCCUCAUCCUCACUCCAGUGCCCUUGCAGUCAGAUUGCUGGGAGGGACUCAGGCCAAAAGUGAGCCGUUACUGCUCAAGCACUGACCACAGGAGUCCUUCACUGUGGAGCAGCUGGGCUCCGCUAGGCUGGCUACUGGCUUCUUUUAGAUGGCAGGUUUAAGUGAAUGAAGCAAAAGCACAUUUACAAAAGGGCACCUCUUAGAAAAGGGUGUGCAUAGGAUAAAGUGCUUUUACCUCCAGCUGAGUACCUGCAUUUCACUCCCUGUGGCAUUUUUCCUUCCUGCUUAACCAUCUUAGCCCAAAUCCAUGCAUAACAGAAGGGGUGAAUUUAUAAGAGUUCUGGACUUUUCCUUCUGCAGACCCCCUCAAAAGGGGGAAAGCUUUCGAAUAUUCAAUACAUUAUAUUACCAAGAGAGGACCAGUGUUACAGUACCUAUUAUCUUGAACCCUACCAGACCUCAAAAUUCUAAAUUAGGGGGCCAGGAGGUAGCAUAUGUGGUUAACUGCACAGUGUUCAGUAUAAGGAUCGUGAUUUAAGCCCCCAGCUCCCCACAUUCAGGGAGGAGGGUUGCUUCACAAGCGGUGAAGCAGGUCUGCAGGUGUCUUUUUUCCUCCCCCGACCUCCCCAUCUCAAUUUGUCUGUCAUAUCCAACAACAGCAGCAGCAACAGCAAUGGUAAAAAAGAUGGAAGACCAGAAACAGUGGAUUCUUAAUGAAGGCAGUGAGCCCCAGUAAUAACCCUGGAGGCAAAAAAAAAAAAAAUCCAAAUUAAAGGUGGCAGAAUCAGGGGGCCGGGUGGUGGCACACCUGGUUGAGCAUGCAUAUUACAGUGCAACAAGGGCCCAGGUUCCAGCCCCCAGUGGCCCCCUGCAGGGGCAAGCUUCAUGAGUGAAGCAAUGCUGUAGGCAUCUCCCCCUAUCACUCCCUUCCUUCUUGAUUUCUGGCUGUGUCUAUCCAAUAAAAUUAAAUUAAAAUCCCCCCCCUUUUGCCUCUAGGAUUAUCACUGGGGCUCAGUGCCAACAUUACCAAUCCAUUGCUCCUGGCAGCGACUCUUUCCAGUUUAUUGGAUAGGACAGAAACUGGAAAAGGAGGAAAGAUAAGACACCUGCAGACCUGAUUCACAGCUUGUGAAGUUACCCUCCCCCUAGCACCCGCAGAGAAAUUGAGAGUGGAAGAGAAUGAGAGACACCUGCAGCACUACUUCACAUUUGUGAGUGAGGCUUUCCUAUUGUGAGUGGGCACUGGGAGCUUGAAGCUUGGUCUUUGAAAAUGGGGGCAUGUGUACUCAAGCAGGUGAUUCAGCAAAGGAGUUUCAUUAGCUCUUGAGAAGAGAAUCAAGCAACAGGAGAGACAAUAAGGUAUAAUAAGCAAAAACUUCUAAAACAAAUGAAGUUACCUGUAGAUCGAUCAACAGUAAUACCCCUGGUGUAAGGCACCAAAGUAAAAGCCUCUGGGGUGGGUUGGGGGGAGAGUACAAGUCCAAAAAGAGUGACAGAGGACCUAGUGGGGAUUGUACUGUUAUGUGGAAAACUGAGAAAUGUUAUGCAUGUACAAACUAUUAUACUUACUGUUGACUGUAAAACAGUAAUCCCCCAAUAAACAAAUUUAAAAAAAUCAA